GCAGGUAGACAGACAGACAGCCCAAACUGUAGACCAGGAAGAAGGCCUGGAGGGACAGACAGACAGGUACAGGUGAUGAAGGCCACACCCCCUACAUGUUGUCUUGGUACAGGUGAUGAAGGCCACACCCCCUACAUGUUGUCUUGGUACAGGUGAUGAAGGCCACACCCCCUACAUGUUGUCUUGGUACAGGUGAUGAAGGCCACACCCCCUACAUGUUGUCUUGGUACAGGUGAUGAAGGCCACACCCCCUACAUGUUGUCUUGGUACAGGUGAUGAAGGCCACGCCCCCUAUGCUGUCCAGGUGUCCAGGGACAGCUGAUGAAAGCCAAGCCCCUUACAUGUUGUCUUGGUACAGGUGUGAUCACCUGUAUGUAAGUCAUGGCACCCAUCUUUACAUACUCUCUGACUCCGCCUCUAUGGCAAUAGCAGCAAAGACUCAUGGGUAAUAUGAACAUGUGAUGGUGUUACCUCCUCCAGACUGAGCUGCAGGUAC